UACGGGGGGGGCAAGCGUUGUUCGGAAUUACCGGGCGUAAAGGGCUCGUAGGCGGCCAACUAAGUCAUACGUGAAAUCCCUCGGCUUAACCGGGGAACUGCGUCUGAUACUGGAUGGCUUGAGUUCGGGAGAGGGAUGCGGAAUUCCAGGUGUAGCGGUGAAAUGCGUAGAUAUCCGGAGGAAGACCGGUGGCGAAGGCGGCCUGCUGGGCAGAUACUGACACUGAGGCGCGACAGCGUGGGGAGCAAACAGG
rnacentral:rRNA from 1 species